AUGUUCUCGUCUGUGUAGCAUCUGGCACUGGCGAACCUCUUCAAAGCGCCCCACCUGCAGCUGGUACACGAUGGCCUCACGGGCCCCCGCAGCAGCCCCGCGGGUCCCCCGGGUCCGCCCCGCCGUUCGCGCAAUCUGGCAGCAGCUGCCGUGGAAGAAUACAGUUGCAAAUAUGGCUCCUUGAAGUUUUAUGCACUGUGUGGCUUUGGUGGGAUCUUAAGUUGUGGUCUGACACACAUGGCUGUCGUUCCUCUGGAUUUAGUGAAAUGCUGUAUGCAGGUGGACCCCCAGAAGUACAAGGGCAUAUUUAAUGGAUUCUCAGUUACACUUAAAGAGGAUGGUGUUCGUGGUUUGGCUAAAGGAUGGGCUCUGACUUUCACUGGCUACUCUAUGCAGGGGCUCUGCAAGUUUGGCUUUUAUGAAGUUUUCAAAGUCUUGUAUAGCAACAUGCUUGGGGAGGAGAAUGCCUAUCUCUGGUGCACAUCAUUAUAUUUGGCUGCUUCUGCCAGUGCUGAAUUCUUUGCUGACAUUGCCCUGGCUCCUAUGGAAGCUGCUAAGGUUCAAAUUCAAACCCAACCAGGUUAUGUCAACACUUUGAGGGAUGCAGCUCCCAAAAUAUAUAAGGAAGAAGGCUUAAAAGCAUUCUACAAGGGAGUUGCCCCUGUCUGGAUGAGACAGAUACCAUACACCAUGAUGAAAUUUGCCUGCUUUGAACGUACUGUUGAAGCAUUGUACGAGUUUGUGGUUCGUAAGCCCGGAAGUGAAUGUUCAAAGGCAGAGCAACUGGUUGUAACAUUUGUGGCAGGUUACAUAGCUGGAGUCUUCUGUGCAAUUGUUUCUCACCCUGCUGAUUCCGUGGUAUCUGUGUUGAAUAAGGAAAAAGGCAGCAGUGCUUCUCAAGUUCUUCAGAGACUUGGAUUUAAAGGUGUAUGGAAGGGACUCUUUGCCCAUAUCAUCAUGAUUGGCACUCUGGCUGCACUACAGUGGUUCCUCUAUGACUCUUUGAAGGUCUACUUCAGGCUCCCUGGCCCUCCUCCACCUGAAAUGCCAGAGUCUCUGAAGAAGAGGCUUGGGUUAACUCAGUAGAAUGAUCAAAGCAAAGGUGGACUGAAUCUGCUUGUUGAUCAGUGUUGAAGAAAGUGCAAGAGGAACUUUUAUAUAUUUGACAGUGUAGGAAAUUGUCUAUUCCUGGUAUAAUUACUGUAGUCUCUUGCCUAAGGCGAGGGUUUCAAACCCACUGUUGAAAUAAACCCAACUA